UACGAAGGGGGCUAGCGUUGUUCGGAAUUACUGGGCGUAAAGGGCGCGUAGGCUGUGCUGUAAGUCAGGCGUGAAAGCCCCGGGCUCAACCUGGGAAUUGCGCUUGAUACUGCGGCGCUGGAAGGUGGGAGAGGAUGGCGGAAUUCCCAGUGUAGAGGUGAAAUUCGUAGAUAUUGGGAAGAACACCGAUGGCGAAGGCGGCCAUCUGGCCCAUUUUUGACGCUGAGGCGCGAAAGCGUGGGGAGCAAACAGG
rnacentral:rRNA from 1 species